rnacentral:rRNA from 1 species
UACGUAGGGUGCAAGCGUUAAUCGGAAUUACUGGGCGUAAAGCGUGCGCAGGCGGUGAUAUAAGACAGUUGUGAAAUCCCCGGGCUCAACCUGGGAACUGCAUCUGUGACUGCAUCGCUGGAGUACGGUAGAGGGGGAUGGAAUUCCGCGUGUAGCAGUGAAAUGCGUAGAUAUGCGGAGGAACACCGAUGGCGAAAGGCAAUCCCCUGGACCUGUACUGACG